ACUAUGAACUUCCUCAGGGACCGCAGUUAAAACAAUUACCAUGUAUCAAUACAAAGUACAAAAUAAACAUAUCCCAUGUGAUAUGUUUAGGGAUAUGUUUAUUUUGUACUUUGUAUUGAUACAUGGUAAUUGUUUUAACUGCGGUCCCUGAGGAAGUUCAUAG